rnacentral:rRNA from 1 species
AGGUUGACCUCGGAUCAGGUAGGGAUACCCGCUGAACUUAAGCAUAUCAAUAAGCGGAGGAAAAGAAACCAACAGGGAUUGCCUCAGUAACGGCGAGUGAAGCGGCAAGAGCUCAAAUUUGAAAGCUGGCCCCCCCGGGGCCCGCGUUGUAAUUUGCAGAGGAUGCUUCGGGAGCGGCCCCCAUCUAAGUGCCCUGGAACGGGCCGUCAUAGAGGGUGAGAAUCCCGUCUGGGAUGGGGUGCCCGCGCCCGUGUGAAGCUCCUUCGACGAGUCGAGUUGUUUGGGAAUGCAGCUCUAAAUGGGUGGUAAAUUUCAUCUAAAGCUAAAUAUUGGCCGGAGACCGAUAGCGCACAAGUAGAGUGAUCGAAAGAUGAAAAGCACUUUGAAAAGAGAGUUAAACAGCACGUGAAAUUGUUGAAAGGGAAGCGCUUGCGACCAGACUCGCCCGCGGGGUUCAGCCGGCACUCGUGCCGGUGUACUUCCCCGCGGGCGGGCCAGCGUCGGUUUGGGCGGCCGGUCAAAGGCCCUCGGAAUGUAACGCCCCCCGGGGCGUCUUAUAGCCGAGGGUGCCAUGCGGCCAGCCCGGACCGAGGAACGCGCUUCGGCUCGGACGCUGGCAUAAUGGUCGUAAGCGACC